AGUGAACGCUGGCGGCAGGCUUAACACAUGCAAGUCGAGCGGAGAUGAGGUGCUUGCACCUUAUCUUAGCGGCGGACGGGUGAGUAAUGCUUAGGAAUCUGCCUAUUAGUGGGGGACAACAUUCCGAAAGGAAUGCUAAUACCGCAUACGUCCUACGGGAGAAAGCAGGGGAUCUUCGGACCUUGCGCUAAUAGAUGAGCACAAGUCGGAUGAGCUAGUUGGUGGGGUAAAGGCCUACCAAGGCGACGAUCUGUAGCGGGUCUGAGAGGAUGAUCCGCCACACUGGGACUGAGACACGGCCCAGACUCCUACGGGAGGCAGCAGUGGGGAAUAUUGGACAAUGGGGGGAACCCUGAUCCAGCCAUGCCGCGUGUGUGAAGAAGGCCUUAUGGUUGUAAAGCACUUUAAGCGAGGAGGAGGCUACUGAGACUAAUACUCUUGGAUAGUGGACGUUACUCGCAGAAUAAGCACCGGCUAACUCUGUGCCAGCCGCCGCAGUAAAAC
rnacentral:rRNA from 1 species